CAACCUCUGCAGUCUGGCUGGUUCCCAGGUUGGGUUGGACAAUAUCUCUUUGAAAGGCUCACCCUUAAGUAUGACUCAGAAC
rnacentral:pre_miRNA from 1 species